CGGAGGUCAAGUUUUGUAUAAAUGGUGGCCGUUUUCAGUCGUUCAAUCAAUUCAGAAAUUAAUGGAAGAGGAUAUCUAUUUUUUAUAGUUAUUUUAUUUAGCGCACGGUAAUCAAUGAUGGGACGAAUAGUUUUACCCUUGUUUUUGACAAAGAAUAUAGCAAAUGCAGCGGGAGAAGUAGAUGGUCUAAUGAAUCCUUUGCGCAGAUUUUCUUCUAGGUAUUAUUUAAGAGUCUUUAGUUCAGGUUCAGAAAGUGGAUAUAUAGGCCCAAAAGGUAUAGCAGCUCCAGGUAAAAGAUUAAUAGGACAGUCGUAUAUCCUAUGGGGAGGAAGGAUUCAGCUUCAGUUUUAUUGAAGACAUCUUUAAAUUCAUUAUAGUGUACAGAUAUCUUUACUUCAUCAGUAAUUUGAAGUAAAGGGAAGAUGAGGAUAACAAUUUUCAUUUCAAAAUUUGGAUAUGAAGUACAGAGAUAGGAGAAUACUGAUAUGACUGUUGUGAAGUUGUAACCAGUUCAUGCCAAG